rnacentral:lncRNA from 1 species
AGUGAAGAUCUGUUGAAUUUCCUUUAAGAACCCGGCAUGAAAUGAUGCUCAGUGUAUACAUAUGUAUUUCAUUUUAUGUCAUGUCCUCUAUGUUCAUGCUUCCUAUUUUUCUUAUUUGGUGUCCUGAUAAAAGUGUACUGAUCUUUCUGAAAUAUAAUUAUGUGAGUGUAUAUUGAUAGCCUCUUUUGUAAGUGCCUCAGGACAUUGUUUUUCUCAUGGAUGUUCCAGAUGUCAGAGCUUACAUCUAUUAGUAAUUGCAAAAUGUAUAUAUAAACAACAAAAAGUUUUGUAACAAAAGUAAAAUUCAUGAUUUAUGGAUAAAACUAGUAUCCCUUAGAUACAAAGAAGGCUGUUUGAAGAAAACUCAUUUCAAUCAUGAAAAUGUUCACUUCUAAAUACCGUAAGAGCUCAUGGUUGCUUCUAAAUGCUCUCAGAACCUUCCAAGUACCAUGGAACGGGGCAUUUCAACCUUAAUUGUAAGUAUGACAGGGCUGUCAAUCCAUUAAUCUAUUAUUGCUCAUUAAAAUUCUACUAAAAAUCUGCCAAUGUACAUAUAGGAGGAGAAAUCAUUAAUUUAUAAAACACAGUAUCUGUUAAUCUGCAACUAAACAAAACAAAAAUACUCCAGGGCCUCUUGUGUCUGCCUUGUAAAACUAGUCUCAGGUUCAGAGAAAGAAUCUCCACAUUUUUAUGGUAUCCUCAAGAUGUAAUCCCAUGCAGUGGAUUGGCUGGGAUUUUACCAGUGGGAUCAA